rnacentral:rRNA from 1 species
UAGAGUUUGAUUCUGGCUCAGAUUGAACGCUGGCGGCAUGCCUUACACAUGCAAGUCGAACGGCAGCGCGGGGCAACCUGGCGGCGAGUGGCGAACGGGUGAGUAAUAUAUCGGAACGUGCCCUGGAGUGGGGGAUAACGCAGCGAAAGUUGCGCUAAUACCGCAUACGAUCUAAGGAUGAAAGCAGGGGACCGCAAGGCCUUGUGCUCCUGGAGCGGCCGAUAUCUGAUUAGCUAGUUGGUGGGGUAAAGGCCUACAAGGCAUCGAUCAGUAGCUGGUCUGAGAGGACGACCAGCCACACGGAACUGAGACACGGUCCAGACUCCUACGGGAGGCAGCAGUGGGGAAUUUUGGACAAUGGGCGAAAGCCUGAUCCAGCAAUGCCGCGUGAGUGAAGAAGGCCUUCGGGUUGUAAAGCUCUUUUGUCAGGGAAGAAACGGUGCGGGCUAAUAUCCUGCACUAAUGACGGUACCUGAAGAAUAAGCACCGGCUAACUACGUGCCAGCAGCCGCGGUAAUAC